GUUUGUGCUGGGAGCUGGUGGCGCGGUGCAGGGCUCUUAAGAACGAACGGCUUGGGCGCGGGUAAUCAGCUCCCUUUCCCCCACUUUCUCACUUAUUCUAGGUACUUGGGACUGUCGUAGAGUUUCCAGACCCCAUGUAGGCGCCCAGUCGUGGACUGUCCCACUCUGCUGCUCUACUGCUCGUGGUGCUCCCGCGCCCAGGCACGGUGGCUCACGCCUGUAAUCCCAGCACUUUGGGAGGCUGAGGCGGGCGGAUCACGAGGUC
rnacentral:lncRNA from 10 species